AGACAAGGGUAGGUAGCCAAACAACCCAGAGAAGAGAUUGGCAUUAGAGUUAGCAGAGGAUGAAGAAAGAGACCCAGGGCUUGGGCAGUGGGGCCUUAGAGCUCAGCCUGCUUCUGAGAAGCUUUUCCAUGUAGAAACUGGGGUUUAAAUCUCAGACAUGCUGGGAUUUCACCCCAUUUACUUCCUGCUGUUCUAGUGAAUUGGGUACUGUGGGUCACUUGCUCUGAUCAAAGACCUUUUCCAUCUUUCUCUGAACAUUGAAGACCUGUUCCAACCAAGCCUAAGGAGACUAAAGUCAUGGACUCUUCCUUCCUCAAAUAAAGCCACUUCUUUCAUACA